rnacentral:rRNA from 1 species
AGAGUUUGAUCAUGGCUCAGGACGAACGCUGGCGGCGUGCUUAACACAUGCAAGUCGAACGGAAAGGCCCCUUCGGGGGUACUCGAGUGGCGAACGGGUGAGUAACACGUGGGUGAUCUGCCCUGCACUUUGGGAUAAGCCUGGGAAACUGGGUCUAAUACCGAAUAGGACCGCAUGCUUCAUGGUGUGUGGUGGAAAGCUUUUGCGGUGUGGGAUGGGCCCGCGGCCUAUCAGCUUGUUGGUGGGGUAAUGGCCUACCAAGGCGACGACGGGUAGCCGGCCUGAGAGGGUGUCCGGCCACACUGGGACUGAGAUACGGCCCAGACUCCUACGGGAGGCAGCAGUGGGGAGUAUUGCACAAUGGGCGCAAGCCUGAUGCAGCGACGCCGCGUGGGGGAUGACGGCCUUCGGGUUGUAAACCUCUUUCAGUAUCGGCGAAGCUCCAGGAUUUUUCUUGGGGUGACGGUAGGUACAGAAGAAGCACCGGCCAACUACGUGCCAGCAGCCGCGGUAAUACGUAGGGUGCGAGCGUUGUCCGGAAUUACUGGGCGUAAAGAGCUCGUAGGUGGUUUGUCGCGUUGUUCGUGAAAUCUUACGGCUUAACUGUGAGCGUGCGGGCGAUACGGGCAGACUUGAGUACUGCAGGGGAGACUGGAAUUCCUGGUGUAGCGGUGGAAUGCGCAGAUAUCAGGAGGAACACCGGUGGCGAAGGCGGGUCUCUGGGCAGUAACUGACGCUGAGGAGCGAAAGCGUGGGGAGCGAACAGGAUUAGAUACCCUGGUAGUCCAA